AUUAAAUUAUGUUUAAAACACCUACAAGCCAAACGUGUGUGUGAGUGUGUGUGUGUCUGAGUGUGUGUGUGUGUGAGAGUGUGUGUUUCUGUGUCUGUGUGUGUGUGUGAGUGUGAGUGUGAGUGUGAGUGUGAGUGUGUCUUUUGUAACAUUAUAAAUGUCUCUACUGUCACUUUUUAACAAUUUAAUGUGUCUUUGAUGAUGAAUUUAAUUUCCUGCAGAUAUGAAUGUGCAUUAAUCGGACCUCUCCCUGCAGUCUGCUGACGAUCUGUGUGAGGCGCAGCAGCUCCUGGUCUUUCGUGUGUGUGUGUCUGUGUGUCUGAGUGUGUGUGUGUGUGUGUUGUGUGUUGUAUGAGUGUGUGGUGUGUGUGUUGUGUGUCUGAGUGUGUGUGUGUGUGUUGUGUGCCUGAGUGUGUGUGUGUGUGUGUGUGUGUGUGUGUGUGUGUGUGUGUGUGUGUGGGGUUUCUCCGCUUGACUGAUCUCACAAUAUAAGAGUGUGUGAAUGGGAAUGUAAAACACUUUUAGCAGUAUCUGAUGAAUUGUCACUUGAUUAGCUCUUUUCACGCAUUUAUCUCGCGAUGCAAAUGAGGACAAACUCAUUAGAAUAACAACGGACUAACUUUAAAACUGAGAACGAAACUCAUCUGACAUUUGAGUGCCACAGAACAGACUUUAUUAUCUGUGAUUAAUUCAUAUACAGUAUAAAGAAGCAACACUUCACAAUAAUAAAUUUUUUUGUAUUUUUUUGCAUGUGAAGCAAGUAUUUAGCUUGUUUCUAGAAGUUGCUAACAUCUUGCUAGCAUUUUUGGCAUGUUUUAGUGUGUUGGUAACAAUUAGCAUACUUUUAACAUAUUGCUAGCAUGUUUUAGCUUGUUACUAGCAUUUUUUAAACACAAAGUUAGCAUGAUUUAACAUAUUGCUACCAAGUUUUAGCUUGUUGCUAGCAUGUUUUAACAUGCUUCUAGCGUGUCACUAACAUGUUUCUAGACGUUGCUAGCAUGUUUUAACACAUUGCUACCAUGUGAAACAAGCAUAGCAUGUUUCUAGAAGUUGCUAACAUUUUUGGCAUGUUUUAGUAUGUUGGUAACAAUUAGCCUGCUUUUAACAUAUUGCUAGCAUGUUUUAGCUUG
rnacentral:lncRNA from 1 species